UGCGCAGACAUGACGUUUCGUGCGUCUCCUUGGCGACGGAGUGGAACCGGAAUGAUGGAGGAGCGAUGGAGAGGCGCAGAAUGAAUUAUGUGAGAAUCAGUCGGUGUCGCUGCUCCGGUCGUUUACUCUGAGCUUUUAGAGCGUUUUUUGAACAUUUUUAUCUCCUUCUUGUUGAUUUGUUCUCGUUCAGACUGACCAUCCCAGUGUUGAACAUGCUGCUGAAUGAGCUGCUGUGUGUCAGCAAAGUGCCUCCAGGUGUGAAACAUGUGGAUCUGGAUCUGUCCACUCUGCCUCCGACCACCGCCAUGGCAGUGAUCAUCUACAACCGCUGGGCCAUCAGAACCAUCGUGCUGAGCAGCUUUCCAGAGAAACAAACCAACCAGGACCUCAUCAGAUAAACAUGUUAAAUAUCGUGCA